rnacentral:rRNA from 1 species
GACGAACGCUGGCGGCGCGCUUAACACAUGCAAGUCGAACGGAAAGGCCUGCUUUCCCUUGUGGAUUGCGGGUACUCGAGUGGCGAACGGGUGAGUAACACGUGAGUGAUCUGCCCCCAACUUGGGUAUAAGCCUGGGAAACUGGGUCUAAUUCCCGAUAGGACUGCAGGGUGGUGCCUGUGGUGGAAAACGAUUUUCUAGUGGUUGGGGAUGAGCUCGCGGCCUAUCAGCUUGUUGGUGGGGUAAUGGCCUACCAAGGCGGCGACGGGUAGCCGGCCUGGGAGGGUGGACGGCCACAUUGGGACUGAGAUACGGCCCAGACUCCUACGGGAGGCAGCAGUGGGGAAUAUUGCACAAUGGGCGGAAGCCUGAUGCAGCGACGCCGCGUGGGGGAUGACGGCCUUCGGGUGGUAAACUCCUUUCGACCGCGAGGAAGCCACCUGGUUGGAAGGGUGGUGACGGUAGUGGUAGAAGAAGCACCGGCUAACUACGUG